CUUCAAUCACCUUACAGACUGAACCAGCUUUCAGCUUGCUUUUAUUUAUUUAAGAUUCCCUCAUUUAGUAUUCCUAAUUUCACAUGGAGACUAAACUUCCAACAGAAAUCUUCAGUUUUUUUGAAAAAGGCUAAAGCAGGAACAAGCUUUAGCAGUUGAUCAGAGCUCAGGAACAAACUGGACUUAAUUCAGGACAAUCUGCGAUGAGAAGAAACUGGAGACCAGGAGGAUUUCUGUAAUUUUGUGAGCCCUGCAUCUGUAUUUAAGCCGUAUACGACAAUGGGCUGUGUGCUGAACAAGUUUCAUCGUUUGUGCUCUCCUUCAGCUGAACAGGUAACUACGCUGCUUUUUUAAUCUCUGUCUGUCUUUUGUUCUCUCUCUCCCUCACUCUCUCGUUCUCUCUCUUCCUGACUCUCUCUCUCUCUCUGCCUCUGCCUCAAGACUGAGAGAGACUGGGAAAGAAAGCGAGAGAAAGGGAGAGAGGGAGAGAUGGAGAGAGAGAGAGAGAGAGAGACAGAGAGAGAGAGAGAGAUGGAGAUAAGGAGAGUGAGACAGAGAGAGGGUUGAAAGUCUUGCUCAGGGGCCUAGCAGUGGCAGCUUGGUGGACAUGGGAUUCAAGCUUGCUACAGUACCUUCUGAUCGGUAGAUCCAUCAACAAGAUCAGGGACUCACUGGUAGUUCAUGUCCUUCUGGGAUUCUCUUAAUUUACUCACCUGCACCAUUGAGAGCGCCCUGACGGGUAGCAUCACUUCCUGUUUCGGGAACAGCACCAUGCAGGACAGGCAAGUCCUCCAGAGGGUGGUGCGGUCAGCUGAACGUACCAUCCACACCGAGCUCCCUGACCUGCAGGACAUCUACAGCACACGGUGCAGGACCAGGGCCAGGAAGAUUGUAAAGGAUCUCAGCCAUCACAACAAUGGACUCUUUUCUUUGUUGCGUUCAUUCGGAGUUUAAACCAGGAAACACCCAGGAUCUAAUACUGGACCUCUCCCUCCAUCUUCACUGUUUCUCUGCACAACAUUUUUGCACUAUGACACUAACUCUGGACUUGCGCAGCACAGUGCCACUUUAUACACACCAUACUCAUUUAUGUAUAUACAUAUAUUUUUCACAUAUAUUUUCAUAUAUUUUAUAUCUACCUCCUUUUGGUUUUAUUUUUAUCCUUCAUUCCAUUCCUUUUUAUGCUUGAAUACCGGACAGACGUAAAAAGCAUCGCACUGCAUGUCGUACUCUGUAUGUAUGUGUGUGUGACAAAUAAAAUUUGAUUUGAUUAGGAUUUGAUUCAGCAAGUGUUUUACUCUAAUAGUAAAUAUAGACCAAAGAAUGUUCAUAAGGUGAGUUUUUUUUACCGUCACCUACAGAUGCGGGAUCCAUCGAGUCCACCAUAUUUUCUUAGUGACAUGCCUUUCCCACUCGUAAUUACGACUUUGAUGGAACACUUAUGGUGGAAAGAUCAUUAAAACAGUCUAAUUACUGCGUUAAGGGUUUUUUCCCCCCUACUGGUUUAUAAUGGAUCUAGUCUUGUUAAUUAAGCUCAUUAAGCUGAGCUGUAAACCUCUUAAUCUCAUCAGAUUACUUAAUCAAUCGGAUCACAGAAUAAAGAGAACGUUCAUGCAUACAAACGCUUUCAUUCUCAUGUUUGAAUGUAGGAAUUUUUCUCCAUGUUUAAUAGCUUCCUGUGCAGUGUGUGGACGACACGAUGGGAUUAAACGCCGUGAUCGUCUACGGAGAUCAGGAAUUCCUGACGCUGCUGCAAGUAAGAUGCCUUCUGUAAUGACCGCUCUGUUUAAACCACAUUCAGAUGCUGUAAGAGACAAAUGCUGUACAAAGAGAAACUGCAUUCUGGGUAUUGUACUGCCUUGAUGCUUCUGAGAUGAGGAAGAGUUAAAUUCUAAGAAAUGUACUGUACCAUCAAAUGCUAUAGAUGAAUGAGAGUGUGUGUGCCCUGCAAUGGGUUGGCACUCCAUCCAGGGUGUAUCCUGCCUCGAUGCCCGAUGACGCCUGAGAUAGGCACAGGCUCCCCAUGACCCGAGAAGUUUAAGCGGUAGAAAAUGAAUGAAUGCAUGAAUGAAUGCUACAGAUGCUACAUCCUUUGUUUCCACCAUGUUUACUUACGGACACGUCUCCGACUUGGGAACUCGGUGCUUACAGACAUUCCAGUUUAACCCUCAUAAUGACAGCGUUUUUUGUUGUUCGUUUACCUUUAACUUGUAAAUACAAAUGAAAUGUUUCCUCUCUCUUUCUAGGAGAGACAGCAACCGAGAUGGAGUGAGAGAGCGAAUGAGGGCCUCUUGCAGGGGCCAAAGCCUUGGAAUUUGAACACACAACCUUCCUAUCCUUAGACCAAGAUGGAAGAUAAGGAUGAAGGCAACAAUGGAGAUCUUAAAUGUGUUUUAGGGGCCCCAACUAAGUAUUGAGUGCUGUACAUGCUCAUACUUUUCAUAUUCAUACUUUUCAGUUGGCCCAGAUUUCUAAAAAUCCUUUUUUUGUAUUGGUCUUAAGUAAUCUAAUUUUCUGAGAUACUGAAUGUGGGAUUUUCCUUAGUUGUCAGUUAUAAUCAUCAAAAUUAAAAGAAAUAAACAUCUGAAAUAUAUCAGUCUGUGUGUAAUAAUGAAUAUAACGUAUUUUCCGCACUAUAAAGCGCACCGAAUUAUAAGGCGCAGUCUCAGUUACGGGGUCUAUUUCUGUACUUAACCCAUACAUACUGUAAGGCGCUCCGUAUUAUAAGGCACAUGCUAAAACAUACAGUCUACAAAAAAGGUAACGGAAGCAAAACAGUGAGUUUAAUUGAACUUUAUUCUACUAUUUAACAAUACACACACAUUAUUUCUUAAAUCAAUCUUCUCCCACAAAUCCAUCAAAGUCCUCAUCUACUGUGUCUUCUUAACUUGGCGCAGUUCAUUUUCUUGCGUCCUCCACUUCCGAACCAUAGAUUCAUUCAGCUCGAGCUCACAGUUUUUACAGAUUUUUGGAACUCAGUGCACACAUAAGUCGCACCGGAUUAUCAGGCGCACGGCCGAUUUUUGAGAAAAUUUAAGGCUCUUAGGUGCGCCUUAUAGUACGGAAAAUACGGUAGGUUUCACUUUUUGAAUGGAAUUAGUGAAAUAAAUCAACUUUUUGAUGAUAUUCUAAAUUAUAUGACCAGCACCUGUAAAUCUUUUAAAAAUUACCUCAGAUUUUGGGCCAAGACGUCUUAUGACGUCAUCACAACACAUAUUUAGCCAUGUUGGAAUCACGUGCAUAAGACAUGAGUUCAGCUCUCAUAAAAAGUAAUUACUGUACACGUGUCUUCACUGGUAGGAGUUAUCCUGUGCCUCCAGUUUCACCAAUACAAGAGUUAAAUACACAAAAAAACAAGGAUUUUCAUCCACAACAAAUCAUCUGAGAUACAAUCAUGCUCAGGAGAUAUCAAGGAGUUUUAUUAUUAUUUUCAAGUAAGAGACACAUGUGGAAUACACAUCUUUUAAAUCAUGACACAAACUGCAUUUAAAUAGAAAAGUAUUUAAGUCUUCACCACUGGCCCUGUUGCUGCUGCCACCGUUACACCAGUAAGACUUCCAAAGAUUCUUAUACUAGUGCUACAAGAAAAGUGGGACACUGCAAUCCAUCAAGCUACAACUUCUAAUUUGGUCCUUAGGGCUGUAAAAUUACACUGAAUCAAUUCUAUAUAUCUACUGAUACCCAUCGAUUUAAACUGGGUAAUAAUAGCGCCCUCUUGUGGAGAAUCUUCAGCUUGGUAAACAUGAGGAACUAUUACAAAAGUACAUUGAUGACACUUCAGGAAUAUUAAAGUCUAAAAUAAAUCACAGUAUGUUUGAGUUUUGUUUACAAUCCCUGGAGACUAGACAUCUGACUAGUAGAUGCUAAACCAUUAGCUAGCUGAUUGACUGACCGACUACCCAGUUACGUCUCUAAAGUGACACGUUACAGAAUUAAAGCUCUGUAGUGAACCAGAAGUCACUUUGACGUUCAGAAGUUAAAUCUUUGCCGCUAUGACCUAUACAGUAACGUGUGAAGCUUUUUGCUAGAUAGCUAACAAAGUAGCUAAAAACAGAACAUGCAUUAUUUGCACUGUAUAUAUAUAUAUGCUUAAAGCACUCUUGAGAAACCAUGCAUGGACUGUAGUUCCAAGUUCCUGCUCAUGUUUUUUGCCUCUUAAAUACCACAAAGCAUCCCCAGAAGACAGUAAAGGCUUAUGCUAUUCCUGAGCUGUAGAUUUUUAAUCUUUUAGUCCUGAAAGUUAAGUUGCAUGACUUAAAGGCAAUAUUUUUGUAUUAUUAUUAUUAUUAUUAUUACUAUUUAUUUUAAUGUAUGCCUUAGUUUUAAAACAGUAAUUUGAAAGUAAUUUUUUUUUUUUUUUUUUUGCAUCUCAGAAAAGGGUUCAUUUAAAACCCAGAAUGUUUGGCAUUUAAAUGUACUUAAUUCUUCUCAGUCAACUUUGUCAUUGUUCACAGUACAAGUACAGACAGAGAAACAAUGGGAAAUAUCUAAAUGUUUACUUUUGAUAGAAAAUAUUGUUGUAUGCAUUACAUACUAUGCAUUUAAAAAAAUAAAAGUUCAUUUCAGUCAA